AGGCAGGGCUGGGGCGCGUUUCAUCGUCACAACAAUUCCUUCCUCCCUCUAGAGACACAGCCCCACCCAAGCAGUGCACCUGGCGGCCCCUCUGGGGCUAUUUCUUCCUGCUCCGUGUUUUGUUUCUAUCUCUUCUUUUCUGGCUCAGAAGUUACAAUGAGCACCUACUGAAAGUCAUUCAGAGAAGAUGGACCAGCUUAGCUAGGAAGCAAAUUGACCCUGCUGCGUCUGGAUUCUAGGGAAACAGAAGGAAGACAUGAGAUGAUGGAUGAAUCAAGUUAUUCAUUCGGGACCAUUAAACACACGACAGGCGACAGAUCCCGGAGAAGACCUCUUCUGUCUCAAUACACUCCCACCCCACCGUGUGGAGUUUCUCACUCUCUGAGAUUCAGUCUUCCCAUUUGGAAGCAUAAGAUAACAAGAUACCAACCCCAGCAAUCAGUUCUUAUCUUGGGUACUUUUGAGGGUCGUUUUUAUUAUUUGUAUGUGUUCAUUUGAGUGUAUCUGUGUUAUGAGUGUACAGGUGCCCACAGAGGCCAGAAGAGGGCGCCACUACGAUCCCCUUGGAGCUGGAGUUACAGGGAUUAUAAGCCACUAGACACCAGCGCUGGGAGGUGAACUCAGAUCCUCUGGACGAGUGGGAAGUGAUCUUAACUCCUGAGCCAUUUCUCAUGCCACCUUCCUUUGGUGUUUUGAGACAUGGUCUUGCUAUGUCGCCUGGACUGGCCUCCAACUUGGCACCUGAUGCUACUGUCUCCUGAGAUCUGGAGUUACAGAUGAAUAGUCCUGUGCUUGGGUUUGGCUACAUUGACUGUUCUGAGCUAAAAUAAUAACAUAUUGCCUUGUUCAUACAUUCCUGUCGUGGAACAAUGUAAACAAAGUAUCCAUUCCUAGGGCGGAAGCAUUAGUAGGGAGACAGGGAACUCUGAGUUAGAUUCAGUCCGAAUUCUUACUGUUGUUACUGUUAACUCAUCUUUCAGGCACAUGAACAUUAGGUUUACUCUGGCAGACACUCAAGUGGCAAGCACUUUGAGAGUUCUUGCAAGGAUGCUUACUACAGAAUUCAGAGUGUUAACUAUCCCGUAUAGGCACCUUUAAUUGUAUAAUUUGUUAUUGUACGUUCAUUGAAAUGAUGCAGAAAAAAAUUCAAAAUAAGGCCAAGGAAAGGAACUGACAGAGGGAAAAGAGAUCAACACAUGUCAUAAACUGGCACU
rnacentral:lncRNA from 1 species